rnacentral:rRNA from 1 species
CACCCAGCCCACAAUAAUCUAUCUGCCAGCAGCUGCGGUAAGACUUAGGGGCUUUGCGUUAUCUAUUCAUUAUGGGCGAAGAGGGUGCGUAGGCGGUUAGAUAAGUCUAUAAUUUCAUUUCCAGUGCUUAGCGCUGUCUGUUACAGAAACUGUCUUGACUAGAGUGAGAUAGAGGCAAGCGGAAUUCCAUGUGUAGCGGUAAAAUGUGUAAAUAUAUGGAGGAACACCAGAAGCGUAGGCGGCUUGCUGGGUCUUUACUGACGCUGAGGCACGAAAGCGUGGGGAGCAAACAGGAUUAGAUACCCUGGUAGUCCACGCUGUAAACGAUGAGUACUAAGUGUCGGGGAAACUCGGUACUGAAGUUAACACAUUAAGUACUCCGCCUGAGUAGUACGUACGCAAGUAUGAAACUUAAAGGAAUUGACGGGACUCCGCACAAGCGGUGGAUCAUGUUGUUUAAUUCGAAGAUACACGAAAAACCUUACCAGGUCUUGACAUACUCUGCAAAGCUAUAGAAAUAUAGUGGAGGUUAUCAGGGAUACAGGUGGUGCAUGGUUGUCGUCAGUUCGUGUCGUGAGAUGUUAGGUUAAGUCCUAAAACGAACGCAACCCCUGUCGUUAGUUGCCAGCACGUAAUGGUGGGGACUUUAGCGAGACUGCCAAUUAAACAUUGGAGGAAGGUGGGGAUAACGUCAAAUCAUCAUGCCCCUUAUGAUCUGGGCUACAAACGUGAUACAAUGGCUAUUACAAAGAGUAGCUGAAACGCGAGUUUUUAUGCAAUGUCAAAAAGGUAGUCUCAGUACGGAUUGAAGUCUGCAACUAGACUUCAUGACGUUAAAAACUCUAAGAUCUGGAAUAAGACACGACGCUAACAAGCCAU